rnacentral:rRNA from 1 species
UACGGAGGGUGCAAGCGUUGUUCGGAAUCAUUGGGCGUAAAGCGCGUGUAGGCGGCUUGGCAAGUCGGUUGUGAAAGCCCGGGGCCCAACCCCGGAACUGCAUCUGAAACUGCCUGGCUAGAGUCCCGGAGAGGAAGGCAGAAUUCCCGGUGUAGGGGUGAAAUUCGUAGAUAUUCGCAAGAACACCAGUGGCGAAGGCGGCUCACUGGUCCGGUUCUGACGCUGAGGCGCGAAAGCGUGGGGAGCAAACAGG